GGCAGCCGAAGUGACGGCGGCGGUCGCCUCGCGCCGCCGUGAGGGAGGCGCCGGGCCGCUGCGCGCGGCUCUUCCCGCCGCUGGAGGCGCGCGCCUGAGGGCGAGCUGUGAGCGCCGUUACCGCGCGCUGCGUGCGCCUUCCGGGAGUCGCUGCCGCCCACUCGUUCCGUUUCUUGAGCCCGGGGCUUUGUAAAUCAAAUCGUGCUCGGCUUCAUGAAAAAAGUGAGGCGGGUGGAGCGUGACAAUGGGAAGUGGCCAAGAAAUUGUGAGCAGCCGAUCAGAACGCGCUGCUAGUUCAACAGUCUUGUUUGGAUAACCACGUACAGACACAGCUGCAAGUAGCACUAGGUGCCACGGCAUUCAUUGAAAGUACCUUCGGUAUCGUAGCAUGGUGUCGUUGAGCAGCUGGAAAUUCAGAGUUCUGGCAACACAUUAGCAGUCACAUCCCUUCAGAACAUCAACAAACAUUCUGAAGAAUAGCUUCAUUCCUUGAACCAGAUUUUCAAAGUGCACAAAUACACCUGCGUGGAAAUCCAAAGGAGCACCAGCACAGCACUGCAAGCAUAUUAUGUGCAGUUAUAAAGAAGCCAGUUCCACAGCUAUGAAGUGAAAACAGAG
rnacentral:lncRNA from 1 species